rnacentral:tRNA from 1 species
GCGGGCGUGGUGGAAUUGGUAGACACGCGAGGUUUAGGUCCUCGUGGCGCAAGCCGUGGGGGUUCGAGUCCCUCCGCCCGCACCA